AAUUUAAUUGACUUACAAUCUGAAAAUGCUAAUCGACGGAACGAACAGGACCGCGAACAAGAUCUAAGCCAGAAAAUCUCGCCGGAAUCUCGAACGGAACUGAACAGACCCAACGAAUAGAGCCAGCGACCUGAACAGGCUUAAAUGGGACUCGAUCUCAAUAGAAACGUUACUCUAAAUGGAACGACGAACUUGAAAUUCAGUCGACCCCCAAACGAACUCUCCACGAGCUUUAAACGAACUCCAUUGAAGAAACAAACUUCCGUCGCCAGUUUCCGGCGAGUUGAAGAAGAAAAAGGGGUCAGCUUGAAAUAAAGGGGGUCUGAUUGUUGAUGGAGUGUAGAAGCAGAUGGGUUUUUGUUUUUCUGUGAGAUGGGGUGUGUGAGGAAGAUGAUGAUCUUUAGGGGGUGGGUCUCUUUUUUGCGCAGCUUUUCAGCUUUUUUUUCCCAGAGUUA
rnacentral:lncRNA from 1 species